rfam:Rhizobium sp. Root708 contig_7, whole genome shotgun sequence.
ACAUCGCAAUCUGGUGGUGGGCUCGCUAAGGCGGCCUCGACCAAUCGUGUCCAAAGACGACGAUGAGCCGCCCGGAAAAACCCAGGCGGCUUUUUU